rnacentral:lncRNA from 1 species
CCUGGGAGGGUAGAGUUUACAUAGACCAUACCACUACCUCAAGAGAAGUAGAGAGGCUAUUUUUGAUAGACCCGCGGCUUAGGACCAAUAACAAUAUAACCAAUACAAAAAGUAAGCGCAUAUAAAGUAGUAUGGUACACAAAACAAACUAGCAGUAUAACAAACACAAAAGAUAAGUGCAUAAUAAACUAGUACGGGAUGCAAAAAAGCCUACACCACUAGCCCCAAAAACUAUAGCCAUAACACUAUGAACCAGAAACUCCAGACCCAAAGGAGCACUUCCCUAUUACUACCGCCGCGCUCCCACCCCC